rnacentral:rRNA from 1 species
GACGAACGCUGGCGGCGUGCUUAACACAUGCAAGUCGAACGGAAAGGCCCUGCUUUUGUGGGGUGCUCGAGUGGCGAACGGGUGAGUAACACGUGAGUAACCUGCCCUUGACUUUGGGAUAACUUCAGGAAACUGGGGCUAAUACCGGAUAGGAGCUCCUGCUGCAUGGUGGGGGUUGGAAAGUUUCGGCGGUUGGGGAUGGACUCGCGGCUUAUCAGCUUGUUGGUGGGGUAGUGGCUUACCAAGGCUUUGACGGGUAGCCGGCCUGAGAGGGUGACCGGCCACAUUGGGACUGAGAUACGGCCCAGACUCCUACGGGAGGCAGCAGUGGGGAAUAUGGCACAAUGGGCGGAAGCCGGAUGCAGCAACGCCGCGUGCGGGAUGACGGCCUUCGGGUGGUAAACCGCUUUCGCCUGUGACGAAGCGUGAGUGGCGGUAAUGGGUAAAGAAGCACCGGCUAACUACGU